rnacentral:misc_RNA from 1 species
GAUGAAGAACGUAGCAAAAUGCGAUACUUGGUGUGAAUUGCAGAAUCCCGUGAACCAUCGAGUUUUUGAACGCAAGUUGCGCCCGAAGCCUUUUGGCCGAGGGCACGUCUGCCUGGGCGUCACGCAUCGCGUCGCCCCCCACAAUUCUCCGUAAAGGGAACUCGUGUUUUGGGGGCGGAUAUUGGUCUCCCGUGCUCAUGGCGUGGUUGGCCGAAAUAGGAGUCCCUUCGAUGGACGCACGAACUAGUGGUGGUCGUAAAAACCCUCGUCUUUUGUUUCGUGCUGUUAGUCGCAAGGGAAACUCUAAGAAAACCCCAACGUGUCGUCUUUUGACGGCGCUUCGACCGCGACCCCAGGUCAGGCGGGACUACCCGCUGAGUUUAAGCAUAUCAAUAAGCGGAGGA